UUCAAAUGCAAGUUGCAUCCCCAAAUGCGAGGCUGGCCUGACCAAAAAGAGCCAGUCGGCGCCCGGAAGAGGCGAGACUCGCGCUUGGGUUCUCAAUCCUUCUCUUUUCUCCUUUCUUUUUCCCUUUCUCCUCUCCGGUUCCUGAUUUAGCUGGGAGCUGUUUAUUUAUGGCUGCAAAUGUGUGUGUUCAAGAGAGAGAGGGAAUUGAUCUUUGCCUGGACUUAAAGAUGGAGCCGAAGAAGCUGGAGGGAAUUUGGGCUUGUGCGUCUGGCCCAGACCCUGUGCGCCGAGCCCGAGGUCUAUCCUCCCCGCACCUCUCACCUCGCGACCUUGCAGGAAUCCGCGGGCCCGGAUGCUGCCCAGCUGACCCUCCUGCCCCGGGCCUGGCUGCAGAGAAAGUCUUCGGGCAGGAGGCCAUCCUGUUCCUGUCUUUAAAAUGAGCACAAUAAAAGGGGGCAAAUCCUCGAACGCGAACCUGAUCUCAUGUCACAGAAGCAACUUGCCAUGAAAUCCGCUAAUGCGCUGCGACUCGCCCACCAGGGCAGCGUGCGGCGGCCGAACUGCACCUGCGUUUGUGAGCCUUGUAGAAAUGGAGCCCACCGGAUUCCCUCACCCGGAGAAAUGCCCAAACUGAAACUUGACUACACUUCCCUGGGCUGGUUCACGGUUUCAUAAUCUCCCAGGUUUGCUGGCUGUGUCACCAAAUCCAAGCCAAACCUGCUAUAAACAUGAUCACAGGCCACUGACCUCGCAGCACUGACCGAUAACUCGGUGGCAAAAUCAGCUCCUCUGGUCAGAGGUUAUUAAAGCAGCGGCUGAAUUCGUGUUUGUUUUUUUGAAGUGGUCAGAAAAACGUAGUCUUCUUAAACCUACAAAAACAGUCAAACACAUUUGCAAAUGUGCUUUACUUGUAUUGGUUCGAGUGCUGGAAGCUGUCUGGCGGUGAGCUUUUUCGUUGCGUGUGGUUUAUGCAGAGCACCCGGGAUGUUUUUCUCGUCUUUUACGUCUUGGUAUCUUUUAAAAAUGUAGAAUGUGUCUCUGAUUGUUUCACAGUAUGUUCCUUAACAACCAGAUAUGUAAGAAAACGUUUGGGAUUGAGUGGUGAGAAAAGCAGACUGGAAAGUACAAAUAAACCCAAUCCAAAUGGAAAACAAAUUAAACAGAUGAAAUGAUUAUGAAAG
rnacentral:lncRNA from 1 species